rnacentral:sRNA from 1 species
GCUGGGCACGGUGGCCCAUUCCUGUAAUCCCAGCAGCUCAGGAGGCUGAAGCAGGAGGGUCACAAACUCAAGAUCAGCUUCAGCAACUUAGCAAGGCCCUAAUCAACUCAGUGAGACCCUGUCUCUA